rnacentral:rRNA from 1 species
GUAGGUGGCAAGCGUUGUCCGGAAUUAUUGGGCGUAAAGCGCGCGCAGGCGGUUCUUUAAGUCUGAAGUGAAAGCCCACGGCUCAACCGUGGAGGGUCAUUGGAAACUGGAGAACUUGAGUACAGAAGAGGAAAGCGGAAUUCCACGUGUAGCGGUGAAGUGCGUAGAGAUGUGGAGGAACACCAGUGGCGAAGGCGGCUUUCUGGUCUGUAACUGACGCUGAGGCGCGAAAGCGUGGGGAGCAAACAGGGAUUAGAUACCCUGGUAGUCCACGCCGUAAACGAUGAGUGCUAAGUGUUAGGGGGUUUCCGCCCCCUUAGUGCUGCAGCUAACGCAUUAAGCACUCCGCCUGGGGAGUACGGCCGCAAGGCUG